UUUUCGUCAAUGGGCGCAAGCCUGAACCAGCCAAGUCGCGUGAGGGACGACUGCCCUAUGGGUUGUAAACCUCUUUUGUAUGGGGGGAAUAAGCUUUACGAGUAGAGUGAUGACAGUACACUACGAAUAAGCAUCGGCUACCUCCGUGCCAGCAGCCGCGGUAAUACGGAGGAUGCGAGCGUUAUCCGGAUUUAUUGGGUUUAAAGGGUGCGUAGGCGGCAUUAUAAGUUAGUGGUAAAAUAUUGGGGCUUCACCUCACUACGCCAUUAAUACUGUAGAGCUAGAGAACAGACGAGGUAGGCGGAAUAAGUUAAGUAGCGGUGAAAUGCAUAGAUAUAACUUAGAACACCGAUAGCGAAGGCAGCUUACCAGACUGAGUCUGACGCUGAUGCACGAGAGCAUGGGUAGCGAACAGG
rnacentral:rRNA from 1 species